AUUGAACGCUGGCGGCAGGCCUAACACAUGCAAGUCGAGCGAGCGGCGGACGGGUGAGUAAUGUAUGGGGACUGCCCGAUAGAGGGGGAUAACUACUGGAAACGGUAGCUAAUACCGCAUACUAUCGGAUAACCCAUAUGGGAUUAGCUAGUAGGUGAGGUAAUGGCUCACCUAGGCGACGAUCCCUAGCUGGUCUGCGAGGAUGAUCAGCCACACUGGGACUGAUACACGGCCCAGACUCCUACGGAGGCAGCAGUGGGGAAUAUUGGCCAAUGGGCGAAAGCCUGAUCGAGCCAUGCCGCGUGAAGGAAGAAGGCCUUCGGGUUGUAAAGUACUUUCGGUAGAGAAGCGGUAUCGAAAGAAGAAGCACCGGCUAACUCCGUGCCAGCAGCCGCGGUAAUAC
rnacentral:rRNA from 1 species